GGUCCCUUGGCGUGAGUAUUAGACAUGAAAAUUACACAUAAAUAUCUGUCCAUAUUUAUAAAUAAAUAUUCUCUAUUAUGUUUAUUGCAUGAAGGCUGUCAAGUUUCUCGUAUUUUAUUUUUGUAGGUAAAAGGAGACAGUAAUGGCUCAGGGUUUUUGAAAUCAUUUGAAAUGUCCAAGAAGGCUGACGUCAACGAGUAUGUGAACCAUUCUUGUUAAAUGAUUACUUUUUAGAAAUGUCACCCAUUCAUCAAUUUCAAAAGUCACUCUUGUUCUUGUUCUUGUUCAAAAGGAAAAGUCAAUAACAUGACUUUUAACAUUAGCAUUGCCUGUUUUGUAUUUCAUUUAUUUGAAGUGAUGGGUAGAUUAGGGGGGGAUUAUCACUUGAAGGCGCACGGGGCAUGUUUAAACCUUGAUUUCUUUUAAGGGAUGUCUAUGCAUUCAACACAAAGACACCAUCCAGCACUGGAGUAAGGACAUCCUUUGUGCUCGUUUCAUAACGUACAGGCUUGCCAAUUGGAGCCGAAAGACUGUAUCUCACUCUUGUGUUUUUAUCUUGUAGAAAAUCUUCAAGAAGGCCUCUGAGAAAUCUGUUAUGGAGUCCAGUGCCAUCAGCAGCUCUUUCGCCCUUUCUGCGUCUGCAAAGAAGGCCCCUCCUGACAGGGUCUUCAGCCGUCACCUGAGGAAGCACCUGUUCAGCGACACAGACACAGACCGAGACAAGGAGAACACCACAGACGUCAGCUGGCUCAGGGACUCGGCCCGCAGGGCCAAACCCAAAGUGGCCGACUACAGCCGCCAGCCGGCCAAACCCUGCCCACCGCCAUGCACCUCAGAUGUGUCCCCAGACCUGCCUGCUCUUUCUCCCGAACUCUUGAAGGAGCGAGCCAAGCCGAAGAGGGUGAGUUAAUGAGAUCUCUCCAUAAUGGACCUGUUUGUUUCUCCUUGGGAUCAAAUAAACAGGAUAAUUCAACCA
rnacentral:lncRNA from 1 species